GAAAUUCCCCCAAAAAAUAUUAGAUAACCCCUGCCCAGUGAACUUUAAACGGCCGCUUUGUGCUAAGGUAGCAUAAUAAUUUGCCUUUUAAUUGGAGGCUUGCAUGAAUGGAAUUUUAAACUAAAGCUUUAUUUUAUUUAGCCCUAAAAAUUAAGAAUUAUGUGAAAACUCAUAAUUUUCAAUAAAAGACCAAAAGACCCUGGGAACUUUAAUUUUAUUAACUUCUACAAAAGUUAAAAAAUUUACACCGGGAGAGUGGGGGAAAACCUUCCCGACCAUUACUUUAUAAACCUUAAUAAUAUAUACUUAAGCUACCCCAGGGAUAACAGGCUACUCUUUUUUCAAAGUCCAAAUUUACAAAAAGAUCUAGCACCUCGAUGUUGGCUUAAGAGUAUGUAAAAUGUAGCAGUUUUACUUAAUGGCUUGUUCCGCCAAUAAUUUCUUACGUGAUC
rnacentral:rRNA from 1 species